rnacentral:rRNA from 1 species
CGUAGGGACCGAGCGUUGUCCGGAUUCAUUGGGCGUAAAGAGCUCGUAGGCGGCUGCUCAAGUCGAAUGUGAAACCUCGAGGCUUAACCUCGAGCCUGCAUUCGAUACUGGGCGGCUAGAGUCUGGUAGGGGGAUCUGGAAUUCCUGGUGUAGCGGUGGAAUGCGCAGAUAUCAGGAGGAACACCGGUGGCGAAGGCGGGAUCCUGGGCCAGUACUGACGCUGAGGAGCGAAAGCGUGGGGAGCAAACAGGAUUAGAUACCCUGGUAGUCCACGCCGUAAACGAUGGGCGCUAGGUGUGGGAGGUCAUCGACUCCUUCCGUGCCGCAGCUAACGCAUUAAGCGCCCCGCCUGGGGAGUACAGCCGCAAGGCUA